rnacentral:tRNA from 1 species
GCCCCCGUAGCCCAAAAGGCAGAGGCCGGCCCCUUAAAAGGGCUUCAGUGUCGGUUCGAACCCGACCGGGGGCACCA